AAGAGACGUUGCCCUUCGGGGUAUACCUCCCACCCUUUGUUUAUUAUACCUUUGUUGCUUUGGCGGGCCCGUCCUCGGACCACCGGCUUCUAGCUGGUCAGUGCCCGCCAGAGGACCUAAAACUCUGUUUGUUAAUAUUGUCUGAGUACUAUAUAAUAGUUA
rnacentral:misc_RNA from 1 species